rnacentral:lncRNA from 1 species
ACUUAUACUUAAAAAACCUAACCUAAAAAACUAAGGGCAACCGUUUUUCUGAUGGGGAACAUAGACACAAACCCUUUCUUCUUCAUGGAAAAACCCUAGAAAAGCUAGGUCUCAAAACCAGCCGCAGAACACGAUCCCCCCACCUGAACUCCUCCUUCGUCGACAAAGGGAACCAAACGCCUAACCUAGAGGAAAGGCUGGUGAACCAAACGCCUAACCUAGAGGAAAGGCUGGUGCCGUUUUUACCAGAGGAGAGACCUUAGAUAUGACUUUUUCUUCACGGACACACGCUCUAUAGCAGCCAUUUUCGGAUCUUCAAAACACAAACACCGUAAGUUUCUUCUUCUUAAUUAGGAAUUCCAGCGUGACUUUUCUCUCCAAACCAAUAGCCAUAGCUUCUAGCUUCUUCUUACUCGACACACCUUAAGCACAGAAAGACCUAAGCUACUAAACGCCUAAGAUAGAAAGAACGAGAGCCAUUUUUUAAACCUAGAAAUCCCUACUUGAAGACCUAGACAAAAAAAGAAGAACGUCAGAACCCACUGCCAUGCGACCACCCAGACCCCCCGAACUCCACCUGAAAGAGACGAACGGAGAUGUCGAUGGCGACGAGAACUUUCAGAUUGGUUGGGCGAGCUAAUGCCGGCGACACCACUGCUACAUCCCUCCCAUCGUCACCAUAGUCUUGUGUCUGAACUCCUCAUUAACUCCUUGCGUUGCACCUCCGAUUUGAAUGAUAUUUGAAGGAAUAUUUGAUCUCAACGAUGACCUCCAAAAUCUGGAAGUCAAAGGCAAAGACUUCUGGAUAAAAGCUAUGUCCAAAGAACCCAGACCUUCAACAGCUAGAUUCUUCAAAGAGGAUUGGUUGAGAUGCCGUUGAAAUUAGAGUUCCGGUCGAGUUUCUGUCGUUGGAUUGCUCUUCACUUCAUCAGUUGUAAAGGUUUUUGGAAGAUUCUAUUAUUGGAAAGCUAAUUAAAGGUCCAGUUCUCUUCUCUUAAACUCUAGAUCUUUGUUUUAUUAAUGAUUUCCUGUUAAAUCGUGAUUGAAUUUGGGUUAAAUGUGACAGUACUAAUUACUAUUAUAGGUGUUGUGUAUUAAUUUGUUCUUGCUCGAUCCACAAGAUUAGUCUAUUUUUGAAAAUAAUAAGUCAAUAUUUGGAAUUACUUACUUUGUGCCUUAAAUUCUCGUGACUGGUUCUUAGCUUGAAUUGUUUUCUCGUGAAAUGCUUUCAUUUGAUUUACUUGAGUGAUUAUUUGCGCCGAUUUUUGUCUACCUGGAUGCUUAGGUAAUUAUGGAAUUUUAGAAUGCAAAAGGGCUGUGGGACAUUGGAUUGAGAUGAGGUAAAAUUGGAAUUAAAAUAUGUAUUUCUUUAUAAUUUGUCCAUCAUAGCUUGCGUUAGGCACGAUUAAUAAAAAAUUAUCAUAGUUAUGGGUACGGUUCUCGUGACAUAGUUGUGGUACAUAAUAUCCAUAUUGGGAGAUACAUUUAUGUGACUCGGCCACAACAACUAAUAAUGUUAAUUAAAGUAAAUAUGUUAUGGAUUGUGAGUACGAUUCCUGUGACAUGAUUCGCAAUAUAUAAUUAAAUAAUUAGUUGUAUGACAAUCUGGUUAUCAAAAGCGGUUUUAAAAGGGAUAAAAUGCACAUAGGUUUCAAGAAUGUUUAAAAAUCAGAUAUAUAGGUCAAUAAUAAUAGUUGAUCUAUCGUGCUAAAAUCACGGAACCGGGGAAUGCCUAGCACAUUCUCCGGGUUAAUAGAAUUCUUUACAGAGAUUUCUAUGUUCGCAGACCAUAAAUAAGAGUCAAACGUUUUUGAUUCGGAAUUUUAAAUCGGGUGACUUGGGACACCAUAAAUUAUCCCAAGUGGCGACUCUGACCUUUAAUAAAAUAAUCCGGUUUGUAUUAUCACUUAAAUUCAAAAAAACUCCCUUAUAUCCCCUUCCAAAGAUAGAAAAAGGAGGUGUUACAGCUCUGGCGACUCCACUGCGGACAAGAACUCAAAAUCUCUGGUUCAGGGUUCACGAAUUCGAACUUAGAGUAAUUGUUAUAUUUGGCUUUUGUUUAUUAUCUGCUUUUUAUCACAUGAUUGGGCCUAAUGUGCUAAAUGCCGCUUUUUUAUCGCUUUGAUAUUAUUUGAAUUAUAUAUAAACUGCUAUGAAAUCCUUCUCUUUUCAUCUUUGGGGAAGUGCACGCUGACAUGACUUCUUUUCUGUUAGUGUCAUACCAUAAAUUAGAAAGAGGCCUUGAGAAGUUAUAAAUCCACAUGGCCUUUUGGUUCCCGGUAUGUAGCCCCCCUUCCUCCCCCGGCUCGAGUUGUCUGCUCAUGUGCACAAGUCAAGAAAAAUAUAUCCAAGUUUUAAGCCUAGAAUAACUCAACCUCAUGCCGGGUCCCUUCAAGGAACUAUUGAUUGCAUCAUGUGCAUUUGACUUUGGGAACUAAACACAAUGGUUGGGUCUGUCUAGACAGAUUUAUCCAAAAAUAAAAGAUCCUUGAUACAUCUUAUACGCUAUAUGUUACAUUCAUCAAGAGUAAGGGUCAUUUGGCAAACCAAUUCGGGUUGAGGGAAAAUGAGAAAGAAAAGAGUGCGAUGUAUAAAAUAAAGCAAGUAUGACCCAAUUAUAAUUUUCUUUCACGCUUUUUCAAGAAAAGAACAAAAAAAUGAAAAUGAAAAAAUCCAAAAAAAUUUUGCACUUUCCCAUUUUUUUUCAAAAAUAAAAUCAAAAAAAGAGGAAAAAGAAAAUCCAAAAAGAGUUCACAUAUUUCAUCAUUUUUUCAAAAUAAAAGACAAAAAUAUGUUUUCUCUAAAUUAGUUUUUUUAUUCUCGCACCUAUCCAAUCUGCCCGAACUACGCAUAUCUGAUUCUCGUCUUUCGGGGCGUGAUACGUAAACAACCCACAAAGAGUCUGAUCUUCCUAGUGAGUCUUAGGUUUUUUGGCUUCACGAGGUCUCAACCAAAUUUUGCAUUUUUAGCUACUUUUAGCCACAUAGGUUAAUUUAAUAAAAUACACGAUCAUGUCUUGCAUGUGUCUAACAUGAAGGAUUAUUUUCUCACAUAGCGUUCUAGGUCUUUUACUUUAUUUGGUCUUAAUUUUCUCAUACAGGUCUGACUUACGUACUGGAGUUUGAGCGUGACAGACAUCUCAGGACCAUCUAGUCACUAUCGCUUGUUCAGGAGUUUGCUUAAGG